AGUUGGCAGCAUGGAUUAGGCAUGCAAGUCGUGCGGAGGUGCUUGCACCUUAGCGGCGAAAGGGUGAGUAAUGCAUAGGCAAUUUGCCGACACGCUGGGGAUAACGGUUCUAACGAGCCGCUAAUACCGAAUGUGGAACGAUAGGCGCAUGUUUAUUGUUUUAAAGAGGGGUUUACCUCUCGCGUGUUGAGGAGCCUAUGUCCUAUUAGCUAGUAGGUUGAGUAUGAGUUGACCUAGGCGAUGAUGGGUAGCCGGGCUGAGAGGCUGAUCGGCCACACUGGGACUGAGACACUGCCCAGACUCCUACGGGAGGCUGCAGUCGAGAAUCUUCGGCAAUGGGCGAAAGCCUGACCGAGCGAUGCUGCGUGGAUGAUGAAGGUUUUCGGAUUGUAAAAUCCUGUUAGAAGCUAGGAACCGUGUAGAGAGAAAUAUGCUUUACAUUUGACAUAAACUUCAAAGAAAGCCACGGCUAAAUUCGUGCCAGCAGCCGCGGUAAUACGAAUGUGGCGAACGUUAUUCGGAAUCACUGGGCGUAAAGGGCGUGUAGGCUGCGUUAUAAGUCCGAUGUGAAAUCCCUCAGCUCAACUGAGGAACUGCGUUGGAAACUGUAGUGCUAGAGUGUGACAGGGGGAAGUGGAACUCCAUGUGGAGCGGUGAAAUGCGUAGAUAUGUGGAGGAACGCCGGUGGCGAAAGCGACUUCCUGGGUCAUUACUGACGCUGAGGCGCGAAAGCUAGGGUAGCGAACGGGAUUAGAUACCCCGGUAGUCCUAGCCGUAAACGAUGGGUACUAGAUAGUAGAGGAGUUGGUGCUUUUGCUGUCGCAGCUAACGCAUUAAGUACCCCGCCUGGGGAGUACGACCGCAUGGUUGAAACUCAAAGGAAUUGACGGGGGCUCACACAAGCGGUGGAGCAUGUGGUUUAAUUCGAAGCAACGCGAAGAACCUUACCAAGGCUUGACAUAUACGUGGUACCGAUAUGAAAGUUGAAGGACCUGAGCAAUCAGGAGCGUAUACAGGUGUUGCAUGGCUGUCGUCAGCUCGUGCCGUGAGGUGUAGAGUUAAGUCUCGUAACGAGCGAAACCCUUACCACUAGUUACUAUCAGGUAAUGCUGAGGACUCUAGUGGGACUGCUGCGUAAAAGUUGGAGGAAGGUGGGGACGACGUCAAGUCAUCAUGGCCCUUAUGCCUUGGGCUACACACGUGCUACAAUGGGUUGUACAAAGGGAAGCAAUGUCGCGAGGCGGAGCAAAUCCCAGAAAGCAGCCCCUAGUUCGGAUUGAAGGCUGCAAUUCGCCUUCAUGAAGCUGGAUCGCUAGUAAUCGCGGGUCAGCAAUACCGCGGUGAAUAUGUUCCUGAGCCUUGUACACACCGCCCGUCAAGCCACGGAAGCUUGGAGUACCUGAAGUCGCUGACCUAACCUUCACGGAAGGAAGUGCCGACGGUAAGCUGAGUGACUGGGACUAAGUCGGAACAAGGUA
rnacentral:rRNA from 1 species